GCCCCCGUAGCUCAGGGGAUAGAGCACUGGUUUCCUAAACCAGGUGUCACAGGUUCGAAUCCUGUCGGGGGUA
rnacentral:tRNA from 1 species